UACGUAGGUGGCAAGCGUUGUCCGGAUUUAUUGGGUUUAAAGGGUGCGUAGGUGGGUUGAUAAGUCAGUGGUGAAAUCCCCGAGCUUAACUUGGGAACUGCCAUUGAUACUAUUGAUCUUGAAUACCGUGAAGGUCAGCGGAAUAUGUCAUGUAGCGGUGAAAUGCUUAGAUAUGACAUAGAACACCAAUUGCGAAGGCAGCUGGCUACGCGAAUAUUGACACUGAUGCACGAAAGCGUGGGGAUCAAACAGG
rnacentral:rRNA from 1 species